ensembl:lincRNA
CUGUUUUUCUGGACAAACUUAAAAAUGCUGAAUCUUUGUAGUCAUUUAAGAAAUAAUUAAUGCCAUAUCUCAAGGUACGCAAAGCUCAGAAGCGGUCUGGGUGAGCAUGGGUGUAGGAGACUGCUUGGCCCUGUUGUGGGCACCCUUGCCAUUGUCCUUAGCCCAUCAGAGACAGGCACUCCUAUUUCGUGUCAGAGGUUCUGCUUCAUUAGUGAUCACAAAGCAAAUGAUGAUGACACAAUCAGAAGUGUCAGAUGACAGGCACUUAUGCAGCCACCCUUCCACGAAUGAUUCCCUAUUUUCUUCUUGUUGUCUGAUCUCCUACUGGAUGAAGUCUAUAACUUCCUGGCUCCUCAUACAUCCCAAAUACCAUCACAGAAAUCAAAAGAACUUAUAUGAGUUUGUUUGACCCUGGGCUUUCUCUCAGGCAACAAGGAGGAGCCUAUGAGCCUGUGGCCUGUAACAAAACAAGGCAAGACAGCUUAAAAAGUAAGCAUUUUCAC